rnacentral:misc_RNA from 1 species
CGUAAAGGUGCAUGAGUGGUGUUUGGUUUGAUACGGGUAGUUGGCUCUUUGCUUGUGCAACAACUUCCACCUGGCAUGCCUUUUCAUCUGUUUGCUAAUGCUUUUGUUGCCAAAGUAGACUGUGGGUUUCUUGUGUUGCCUACCUAUGAUAAGGCAUUCUUUUGGCUGAUCUUAAGGUCAUUUCGUCUUGUCUUACAGUUGUGAGACCAGAUGAACAAUAAAGAUAUCUCUUUGAACCACACAACUAAUGCUUGUGCGAAGCUGUGGCACAUUGAGAAUUGCUUGGUCUCUUUGAUAUGGUAACUUGAUGUGGGAUGGGUCUCGUGGGAUCCUUAUGUGUUCCAUUCUUAGUGUUUACGCUUCUCUAAAAUGACUGCUUGACACGCUCUUAACCGGCGUGUUGAGUUUUGUCAAAGAGGAAAGU